AAAAAAAUAAAACAAUGGUUUUGGCUAUAGUUCAUUUUAUGUAAUGGUUAAUGUAAUAUAGUUUAUUUUAUGUAAUAUGCCUUAUGAAUUUUUAUUAAUAACAACUUCUUUAAUUCAUUCAGCUCCUCCAAAAUUUGAAAGACUGUGAUUCAAACUUUUGCUUUUCCUAAAACAAAGUUAAAGAAAAUAUAUGAAGUCAAUGAUAAAUCUUAAAGUUUUACAAAGAUUAAUAAAUAGAAGUUAUUAAAUCUUGGUAGCUGAUCAUGCAGUGAAUUUGAGAAGGGCAUGCUUUCAAAUGUUAAGACUGCUCCCCUGAUUCCUACAGAAAAAAAAAAAACUUUAAAAUGCUGGUUGUAAUAUUUUAAAGAGUGCACUUGAUCGAAAAGAAGGUGAAUGACGUCAAAUGUUCAAACAUUCGAUUCUUGGAAUUUAACAAGUAGAAAAAGAAGUUUAUAAAAUUGUAAUUUAUAAAACUCAGCACAAUUAUAUUAUUAAAAAAUUUAAA